rnacentral:rRNA from 1 species
GGGGAGAACCACAGGGAAUUACCUCAGUAACGGCGAGUGAAGCGGUAACAGCUCAAAUUUGAAAUCUGGCCUCACGGUCCGAGUUGUAAUUUGUAGAGGAUGCUUCGAGCAUGGUCUGGCCUAAGUUCCUUGGAACAGGACGUCAUAGAGGGUGAGAAUCCCGUAUGCGGUCAGGUGCCUACGCUCAUGUGAAGCUCCUUCGACGAGUCGAGUUGUUUGGGAAUGCAGCUCAAAAUGGGUGGUAAAUUUCAUCUAAAGCUAAAUAUUGGCCAGAGACCGAUAGCGCACAAGUAGAGUGAUCGAAAGAUGAAAAGCACUUUGGAAAGAGAGUUAAACAGUACGUGAAAUUGUUGAAAGGGAAGCGCUUGCAACCAGACUUGCGCGCGGCCGAUCAUCCGGUGUUCUCACCGGUGCACUCGGCCGUGCUCAGGCCAGCAUCGGUUUUGGCGGCUGGAUAAAGGCCCUAGGAAUGUAGCUCCUCUCGGGGAGUGUUAUAGCCUAGGGUGCAAUGCAGCCUGCUGGGACCGAGGACCGCGCUUCGGCUAGGAUGCUGGCGUAAUGGUUGUAAGCGGCCCGUCUUGAAACACGGACCAAGGAGUCUAACAUCUAUGCGAGUGUUUGGGUGUCAAACCCAUACGCGUAAUGAAAGUGAACGGAGGUGAGAACCCUUAAGGGUGCAUCAUCGACCGAUCCUGAUGUCUUCGGAAGGAUUUGAGUAAGAGCAUAGCUGUUGGGACCCGAAAGAUGGUGAACUAUGCCUGAAUAGGGUGAAGCCAGAGGAAACUCUGGUGGAGGCUCGCAGCGGUUCUGACGUGCAAAUCGAUCGUCAAAUUUGGGUAUAGGGGCGAAAGACUAAUCGAACCAUCUAGUAGCUGUUUCCUGCCGAAGUUCCUCCAGGAUAGCAGGGUUGAAUUCAGUUUAUGAGGAAAGCGAAUGAUAGAAAGGGCUUGGGGUUGAACACCUUACCUAUCUCAACUUU